UACUGCUUCGGCAGCACGCAUACUAAAAUUGGAACGAUACAGAGAAGAUUAGCAUAGCCCCUGCGCUGGCAUUGACAAUUACAUUUGCAGGGUCCCAUAUAUCUUG